rnacentral:rRNA from 1 species
UUCCGGUUGAUCCUGCCGGAGGCUACCGCUAUUGGAGUUCGAUUAAGCCAUGCGAGUCCAGAGCUUUCGGAGCUCGGCGUACCGCUCAGUAACACGUGGGUAACCUAACCUAUGCAGGGGAAUAACCUCGGGAAACUGAGAAUAAUGCCCCAUAGUCCACUACGCCUGGAACGGUGAGUGGAUGAAAGCUCAGGCGGCAUAGGAUGGGCCUGCGGCGUAUCAGGUUGUAGGGGGUGUAAAGUACCCUCUAGCCCUCUACGCGUACGGGUGUUGGGAGACAUAGCCCGGAGAUGGAUUCUGAGACACGAAUCCAGACCCUACGGGGUGCAGCAGGCGCGAAAACUUCACACUGCAGGAAACUGUGAUGAGGGAACUCCAAGUGACUGCACAAUGUGUAGCCUUUUCUUGAAUUUUAAUAGUUCUUGGAAUAAGGGCUGGGAAAGACCGGUGCCAGCCGCCGCGGUAAUACCGGCAGCUCGAGUGGUCGUCGCUUUUAUUGGGCCUAAAACGUCCGUAGCCUGUUUGGUAAAUCUAUGGGUAAAUCAACGAGCUUAACUCGUUGAAUUCUGCAGAGACUGCCAGACUAGGGACCGGGAGAGGUAUGAGGUACUCUGGGGGUAGGGGUAAAAUCCUGUCAUCCUCAGAGGACCACCUGUUGCGAAGGCGUCAUACUGGAACGGAUCCGACGGUCAGGGACGAAGCCUAGGGGCACGAACCGGAUUAGAUACCCGGGUAGUCCUAGGUGUAAACGCUGUGGAUUUGGUGUGUGGGGUCCGCAAUGGGCCCCAUGUGCCGGAGUGAAGAUGUUAAAUCCACUGCCUGGGGAGUACGGUCGCAAGGCUGAAACUUAAAGGAAUUGGCGGGGGAGCACUGCAACGGGAGGAGCGUGCGGUUUAAUUGGAGUCAACGCCGG